UUAAGUUCAGCGGGUAGUCCUACCUGAUUUGAGGUCAAGUUGUCAAGCAUUUUUUUUCCAGCUGGAAAAAGUUGGACAUAGGUGUUAAAGCAACCAGCCCACAGUGAUCAUUAUCACACCGAAAGGCCAUAUUUCAUGCACACAACCUUUGCCAAUGCAUUUCAGAGGAGCUGACUUUACAGCCAGCAAAGCCUCCACAA
rnacentral:misc_RNA from 1 species